rnacentral:rRNA from 1 species
UACAGAGGGUGCGAGCGUUGUCCGGAAUCACUGGGCGUAAAGGGCGCGUAGGCGGUCUGCUAAGCGUGUGGUGAAAGCUCGGGGCUCAACCCCGAGUCGGCCGUGCGAACUGGUGGACUGGAGCAUGUCAGAGGCAGGCGGAAUUCCGGGUGUAGCGGUGGAAUGCGUAGAGAUCCGGAAGAACACCGGUGGCGAAGGCGGCCUGCUGGGCUAUGGCUGACACUGAGGCGCGACAGCGUGGGGAGCAAACAGG